AUGGUUGAAUUCAAAAGUCACCACAUCUACCAUUACUACAGAGGACUGGGAGUCACCACAUCUACCAUUACUACAGAGGGCUGGGGGUCACCACAUCUACCAUUACUACAGAGGGCUGGGGGUCACCACAUCUACCAUUACUACAGAGGGCUGGGGGUCACCACAUCUACCAUUACUGCAGAGGACUGGGAGUCACCACAUCUACCAUUACUACAGAGGACUGGGAGUCACCACAUCUACCAUUACUGCAGAGGACUGGGAGUCACCACAUCUACCAUUACUACAGAGGACUGGGAGUCACCACAUCAACCAUUACUACAGAGGACUGGGGGUCACCACAUCUACCAUUACUACAGAGGACUGGGGGUCACCACAUCUACCAUUACUACAGAGGACUGGGGGUCACCACAUCUACCAUUACUACAGAGGACUGGGGGUCACCACAUCUACCAUUACUACAGAGGACUGGGGGUCACCACAUCUACCAUUACUACAGAGGACUGGGGGUCACCACAUCUACCAUUACUACAGAGGACUGGGGGUCACCACAUCUACCAUUACUACAGAGGACUGGGGGUCACCACAUCUACCAUUACUACAGAGGACUGGGGGUCACCACAUCUACCAUUACUACAGAGGACUGGGGGUCACCACAUCUACCAUUACUACAGAGGACUGGGGGUCACCACAUCUACCAUUACUACAGAGGGCUGGGGGUCACCACAUCUACCAUUACUACAGAGGGCUGGGGGUCACCACAUCUACCAUUACUACAGAGGGCUGGGGGUCACCACAUCUACCAUUACUACAGAGGGCUGGGGGUCACCACAUCUACCAUUACUACAGAGGGCUGGGGGUCACCACAUCUACCAUUACUACAGAGGGCUGGGGGUCACCACAUCUAACAUUACUACAGAGGACUGGGGGUCACCACAUCUACCAUUACUACAGAGGGCUGGGGGUCACCACAUCUACCAUUACUACAGAGGGCUGGGGGUCACCACAUCUACCAUUACUACAGAGGACUGGGGGUCACCACAUCUACCAUUACUACAGAGGGCUGGGGGUCACCAGGACAGGACCCUACACCCCCACCAUCAUAUCAACAACAUACAGGACCUACACCCCCACCAUCAUCCAUCAUAUCAACAACAUACAGGACCUACACCCCCACCAUCAUAUCAACAACAUACAGGACCUACACCCCCACCAUCAUCCAUCAUAUCAACAACAUACAGGACCCUACACCCCACCAUCAUCCAUUCUAUCAACAACAUACAGGACCUACACCCCACCAUCAUCCAUUCUAUCAACAACAUACAGGACCUACACCCCCACCAUCAUCCAUCCAUCAACAACAUACAGGACCCUACACCCCCACCAUCAUCCAUUCUAUCAACAACAUACAGGACCCUACACCCCCACCAUCAUCCAUUCUAUCAACAACAUACAGGACCUACACCCCCACCAUCAUCCAUCAUAUCAACAACAUACAGGACCCUACACCCCCACCAUCAUCCAUCAUAUCAACAACAUACAGGACCCUACACCCCCACCAUCAUCCAUUCUAUCAACAACAUACAGGACCUACACCCCCACCAUCAUCCAUCAUAUCAACAACAUACAGGACCUACACCCCCACCAUCAUCCAUCAUAUCAACAACAUACAGGACCUACACCCCACCAUCAUCCAUCAUAUCAACAACAUACAGGACCUACACCCCCACCAUCAUCCAUCAUAUCAACAACAUACAGGACCCUACACCCCCACCAUCAUCCAUUCUAUCAACAACAUACAGGACCUACACCCCCACCAUCAUCCAUUCUAUCAACAACAUACAGGACCCUACACCCCCACCAUCAUCCAUUCUAUCAACAACAUACAGGACCUACACCCCCACCAUCAUCCAUCAUAUCAACAACAUACAGGACCUACACCCCCACCAUCAUCCAUCAUAUCAACAACAUACAGGACCCUACACCCCCACCAUCAUCCAUUCUAUCAACAACAUACAGGACCUACACCCCCACCAUCAUCCAUCAUAUCAACAGCAUACAGGACCUACACCCCCACCAUCAUCCAUCAUAUCAACAACAUACAGGACCCUACACCCCACCAUCAUCCAUCAUAUCAACAACAUACAGGACCCACCAUCAUCCAUUUUAUCAACAACAUACAGGACCCUACACCCCACCAUCAUCCAUCAUAUCAACAACAUACAGGACCCACCAUCAUCCAUUCUAUCAACAACAUACAGGACCUACAACCCCACCAUCAUCCAUCAUAUCAACAACAUACAGGACCCUACACCCCACCAUCAUCCAUUCUAUCAACAACAUACAGGACCCUACACCCCACCAUCAUCCAUCAUAUCAACAACAUACAGGACCCACCAUCAUCCAUUCUAUCAACAACAUACAGGACCCUACACCCCCACCAUCAUCCAUUCUAUCAACAACAUACAGGACCCUACACCCCACCAUCAUCCAUCAUAUCAACAACAUACAGGACCUACACCCCACCAUCAUCCAUUCUAUCAACAACAUACAGGACCCUACACACCCACCAGAAUUCAUUCUAUCAACAACAUACAGGACCUACACCCCCACCAUCAUCCAUUCUAUCAACAACAUAUACAGGACCCUACACCCCCACCAUCAUCCAUUUUAUCAACAACAUACAGGACCUACACCCCACCAUCAUCCAUUCUAUCAACAACAUACAGGACCUACACCCCACCAUCAUCCAUUCUAUCAACAACAUACAGGACCCUACACCUCCACCAUCAUCCAUUCUAUCAACAACAUACAGGACCCUACACCCCCACCAUCAUCCAUGCUAUCAACAACAUACAGCACCUACACCCCCACCAUCAUAUCAACAACAUACAGGACCCCCACCAUCAUCCAUUCUAUCAACAACAUACAGGACCUACACCCCCACCAUCAUCCAUUCUAUCAACAACAUACAGGACCUACCAUCAUCCAUUCUAUCAACAACAUACAGCACUGCCACCAACCAUCAUCCAUUCUAUCAACAACAUAUACAGGACCCUACACCCCCACCAUCAUCCAUUCUAUCAACAACAUACAGCACUGCCACCAACCAUCAUCCAUUCUAUCAACAACAUAUACAGGACCCUACACCCCCACCAUCAUCCAUUCUAUCAACAACAUACAGGACCUACCAUCAUCCAUUUUAUCAACAACAUACAGCACUGCCACCAACCAUCAUCCAUUCUAUCAACAACAUAUACAGGACCCUACACCCCCACCAUCAUCCAUUCUAUCAACAACAUACAGGACCUACACCCCCACCCAGGCUGA
rnacentral:lncRNA from 1 species